rnacentral:rRNA from 1 species
GGGAAGAUCAAGAUUGCCUCAGUAACGGCGAGUGAAGCGGCAUAAGCUCAAAUUUGAAAUCUGGCUCUUUCAGGGUCCGAGUUGUAAUUUGUAGAAGAUGUUUCGGGUGUGGCACCGGUCUAAGUUCCUUGGAACAGGACGUCAUAGAGGGUGAGAAUCCCGUACGUGACUGGCUGCCUACGCCCAUGUGAAACUCUUUCGACGAGUCGAGUUGUUUGGGAAUGCAGCUCAAAAUGGGUGGUAUAUUUCAUCUAAAGCUAAAUAUUGGCCAGAGACCGAUAGCGCACAAGUAGAGUGAUCGAAAGAUGAAAAGCACUUUGGAAAGAGAGUUAAACAGUACGUGAAAUUGUUGAAAGGGAAGCGCUUGCAAUCAGACUUGCGCCUAGUUGAUCAUCCAAGCUUUUGGUUGGUGCACUCGACUAGGCUCAGGCCAGCAUCGGUUUGGGCGGUUGGAUAAAGACUUGGGGAACGUAGCCUCCUUCGGGUGGUGUUAUAGCCCCAGGUGCAAUGCAGCCUGCCUGGACCGAGGACCGCGCUUCGGCUAGGAUGCUGGCGUAAUGGUUGUAAGCGACCCGUCUUGAAACACGGACCAAGGAGUCGACCUAUUUAGCGAGUGUUUGGGUGUUAAACCCAUACGCGUAAUGAAAGUGAACGGAGGUGAGAACCCGUUAGGGCGCAUCAUCGACCGAUCCUGAUGUCUUCGGAUGGAUUUGAGUAAGAGCUAAGUGGGUCGGACCCGAAAGAUGGUGAUCUAUACGUGAAUAGGGUGAAGCCAGAGGAAACUCUGGUGGAGGCUCGCAGCGGUUCUGACGUGCAAAUCGAUCGUCAAAUUUGCGUAUAGGGGCGAAAGACUAAUCGAACCAUUAAACCUUACUAGGUGGUUGAGAGAGGAUCGUUUGAGAGAUCCUUUAGUUCCCACUCGGGGCAACAUCGUCAAAUUGUUCGGGGACCACCUGUGAAUUUGCAAGCUACCGCAGCCAGCUCGAAAGGGUUGGUGAGCACCUGAGAUAGCGACUUAGGGUAUGGUAAUAACGCUUGCAUGGGGUGUAUCCGCAGCGAAUCCCUAAGCCUUUUUAGGUAUGGGUGUCGUUCACAGACUAGACGGCGGUGGACGUGGUAUCGGAAGGUAUAGGCUUAAUAACCCUAUAUUCUUACAUGUCACGCUUAAGAUAUAGUCGAACCCCCCAGAGAUGGGG